AGUCAGCAGCUGUCACCAAAGCCCAGCUUGAUAAAGUUGUGUUGGACAAGACGGAGGAGAAAGCGGCCUUUGACCUGGUGCUUGAGAAGGCGGCAGCUGAGGCGGCGGCACAGAAGGCCAUUGCUGACAAGACGCUCGUUGACUUCGGAGAGCUGCAGGUGAGUGUCUAGCAGUAUUUUCUGACCUUAAGGGGAAGCUCAGCUGAGGUCCUAGCGCUUUCUCUAAACACCUUAGCGGCUUUGUUGUGGUUACCUCAUGAUCCACAGCGGCGGUUUAAUGGUUGAAGUCGAGCUUGAGAUCGCCUGUGCUACCUGUGGUACAGCUCGUUUGAUAUCUUGCUUCUACGAGGAGCCUAUGCGUUGCUAAUCGCUGAGCAUGGGGCAAUUGCUGGGGGGAAACACCCGGGCCAUGGGUCCAGGGAUCGUUUUUGUCUUGGCCACGCUGCUGUACUGGGAAAUGCCUAUGCUGGCGGGUAAUUGGUUGCAUUUUUGGUGUACUUAAGCCGUGCUAAUAAUUUCUUCGUAAGUGAUGGACAUGGCCGACAAAGUUAAACUAUUACGUAAGCCAUCGAGAUAAUAGCGAGGUCAACAGUCGCAGCGGAAGGUGAAGGACUUUGUAUCUCUGACUACAAGCAAGUAUAUAUGUACACACACACAUAUAUAUAUAUACACACACAUAUAUAUAUACACACACAUAUAUAUACACACACAUAUAUAUAUAUAUAUAUAUAUAUAUGUACACACACACUCAUAUAUAUAUAUAUAUACACACACAUAUAUAUAUACACACAUAUAUAUAUACACACACACAUAUAUAUAUAUAUAUAUAUAUAUAUAUAUGGCAAGUGUAUGCUACCUGUGUUCGGUUUUUAGCGUCGAGAUUCCUGAUUAAAGCAGCCAGGCACCUUACAUGAUGACCGUGCCAAUCAGAGCUCAUCAGUAAUAACAUUGUUAUGGUCCAUAGACAGGGUUAAAGUAUCAUGGAUAUGACCGAUAAAUAGAUAGCAUAUAGAUCCAUGGUAUACAAUGGUAUAUAGGUCGUGCUAUGGCAUUAUAGAUAGCCAUGAGAAUAGAAGGUUUGUAGACAUUCCUCUCUUUUACAGGCGUCAGCUGCGGCAUCCCAUUGUAGUGGAAAGUGAAGCAAGCCAUGGCAAGUGAAGCACGCAUUACCAUCCACUUCAACUACUGGCUUGCGUGAGUGACCUAAGAGGCCUGCAACCCAGGUAGUGCCGAUGCUGCUCUGCUUUGAUUCCUACAGUCCAGGCAGUGCCGUGAUGCUAUAUAUAGUGCUUAUGGCAACCGUUGUGGCAUUUCACGCACAACGGGCGCACACAUGGGUGAUCACGACAUUUACGCGCUGCGUUACAUGAUAUGCGGAUCCAUAUCUGUUACGGGGAGGGUCGGUGUCGCAUGGGGACCUCCGCAUAUGUUGACCUCCGUCUGCGUCGCUGGGCCGAAGACAUGAAGGCAUUAGGCGGGCGGUAUGGAGUGGCAAAGGCAAGCGAAACCUAGAAGGAGGACAGCUAAUCUGCAAAGCCGCACUUAAGGAUGCUGUGUUCGUCAUUCUCUUUGGCAUUUCCAGCUACCACUUUUGGAAAGAGAGGGAGAGUCUGUGUAUGUGACUGUUUUACACCUGGACUUGCAUACUCUCCAAAGGUGUAACGGGCCCAUACGAGCCGGCUACGAGCCGGCCCAUACGAGCCGAAGGCUGCCCGAAAUAGAUAGGCAUGUAAAAAUGCAUGAGAGAAAUAUUCUUAUUCUAUCGCUCGAAGAAGACACUAUUCAGACUGCUAUGCUGUAGCAGUGCGCUUGCUAUAUGAGACCCUCUGUACUGUGGAUGGGGCUCGCAAGCUUGAAUUGGUUAUCCGCUACUAUCACAUCCUUCACAGUCUGAUUAAUCUGAAACCGGACAGAAGGCCCCUGCGUAUGCUAUAUACUGGGCAGUCCGUCUUGGAGCUCGCAGGACUUGCGCUAUCGCGCGAUCCCCCAUACACGUUUUUGCUUCUAGCGGGCAGCAACAUAUACGAAAAUGCAUUAGCAACUGACGCAUAUCGACAAUAAUAAAGAUAUUGGUAUUCGGCAUUCGUGUUUUUCCUUCGCUAGACGAGGAUAGGAGGGAGCCUCGGGGGUAAGGAGGUACUGGAAUCCCCAGAAGCGCCCUCCCAUUAUUAUGUGUCCCAUAUGCGUCCCAUAUGCUCCUGAAAUCUAUUAGCGUACUAGGCUCUUUGCGGGACGGAAGCUAGCAGCGCUACUCGUGCGUGCACUGACAUAAUACACAAGCGGGAUGCACGGUCCUGCAAUAAAGUAUGCGCGUCGUAUUGACCUGCUCAACAUGCAGGCCGGUAAAGGCUGCCCUGUGUCACGGCGUCGUGAUUCCAUAUAUAUGUAUUGUCAAAUGGAGAACAAUGAAAGCAAGUCACCAUCGUAGUAGCAGUGCUGGUUAAUGUACCUGUGCUCCCCUCAACCUUCAGUCUUAAUAAUUUAGAUAAGAGCGAUUUUGACUCAUGCAUUAAGUUUCCUUCGCCCGCCUGCAGGAAUCAGCGGCUGCGGCCAAGGCCCAGUUUGACAAGUUCGUGUUGGACAAGACGGAGGAGAAAGCGGCCUUUGACCUGGUGCUGGAAAAGACGGCGGCUGAGGCGGCGGCACAGAAGGCCAUUGCUGACAAGGCGUUAGUUGACUUCGGCGAGCUGCAGGUAUUGUGCUUGGGGAAGGGUCUCGCGUACUUCGAGGAGGUCUGGAUUGAUAAUCACCCCAAAUUCUGCUGCUCACGAGCAGGAGUCUUCAACGGCUGCUAAGGCCCAGUUUGACAAGUUCGUAUUGGACAAGGCGGAGGAGAAAGCGGCCUUUGACUUGGUGCUGGAGAAGACGACGGCUGAGGCGGCGGCACAGAAGGCCAUUGCUGACAAGGCGUUAGUGGACUUCGGCGAGCUGCAGGUAUUGUGCUUGGGGAAGGGUCUCGCGUACUUCGAGGAGGUCUGGAUUGAUAAUCACCCCAAAUUCUGCUGCUCACGAGCAGGAGUCUUCAACUGCCGCCAAGGCCCAGUUUGACAAGUUCGUGUUGGACAAGGCGGAGGAGAAAGCGGCCUUUGAUCUGGUGCUGGAGAAGACCACAGCUGAGGCGGCGGCACAGAAGGCCAUUGCUGACAAGGCGUUAGUGGACUUCGGCGAGCUGCAGGUAUUGUGCUUGGGGAAGGGUCUCGCGUACUUCGAGGAGGUCUGGAUUGAUAAUCACCCCAAAUUCUGCUGCUCACGAGCAGGAGUCUUCAACUGCCGCCAAGGCCCAGUUUGACAAGUUCGUGUUGGACAAGGCGGAGGAGAAAGCGGCCUUUGAUCUGGUGCUGGAGAAGACGACAGCUGAGGCGGCGGCACAGAAGGCCAUUGCUGACAAGGCGUUAGUGGACUUCGGCGAGCUGCAGGUAUUCUGCUUGGGAAAGGGUCUCGCGUACUUCGAGGAGGUCUAUUAUUGAUAAUUAACCCAAAAUUGGCUGCUCACGAGCAGGAGUCUUCAACUGCCGCCAAGGCCCAGUUUGACAAGUUCGUGUUGGACAAGGCGGAGGAGAAAGCGGCCUUUGACUUGGUGCUGGAGAAGACGACGGCUGAGGCGGCGGCACAGAAGGCCAUUGCUGACAAGGCGUUAGUGGACUUCGGCGAGCUGCAGGUAUUCUGCUUGGGAAAGGGUCUCGCGUACUUCGAGAAGGUUUGUUUUGAUAAUUAACCCAAAAUUGGCUGCUCACGAGCAGGAGUCUUCAACUGCUGCUAAGGCCCAGUUUGACAAGUUCGUGUUGGACAAGGCGGAGGAGAAAGCGGCCUUUGAUCUUGGUGCUGGAGAAGACGACAGCUGAGGCGGCGGCACAGAAGGCCAUUGCUGACAAGGCGUUAGUGGACUUCGGCGAGCUGCAGGUAUUGUGCUUGGGAAAGGGUCUCGCGUACUUCGAGGAGGUCUGUUUUGAUUAUCACCCCAAAUAUUGCUGCUCACAAGCAGGAGUCUUCAACGGCUGCCAAGGCCCAGUUUGACAAGUUCGUGUUGGACAAGGCGGAGGAGAAAGCGGCCUUUGACUUGGUGCUGGAGAAGACGACAGCUGUGGCGGCGGCACAGAAGGCCAUUGCUGACAAGGCGUUAGUGGACUUCGGCGAGCUGCAGGUAUUCUGCUUGGGAAAGGGUCUCGCGUACUUCGAGAAGGUUUGUUUUGAUUAUUAACCCAAAAUUGGCUGCUCACAAGCAGGAGUCUUCAACGGCUGCUAAGGCCCAGUUUGACAAGUUCGUGUUGGACAAGGCGGAGGAGAAAGCGGCCUUUGACCUGGUGCUGGAGAAGACGACAGCUGAGGCGGCGGCACAGAAGGCCAUUGCUGACAAGGCGUUAGUGGACUUCGGGGAGCUGCAGGUUAGCGCAUGCACAUCUGGUCCAGGGUUUCGUAUGCAGGUCAACCUUUCUUGACCAUGUUGAAUAUUGAUUAGUAUCCGCGUGUGCUUAUUCCCGACGCUUUAGUGCCUUCACUGCUUGCGGUGUGUUCGCGCUGAUGUGCCGGAUUACCGGGCGUUUUAUCCUUAUCCCGCUCGCUGUCUGCAUCAUACUGGUAUGGUCCUUUCCCUCAGCAUUUGCCCAUUACCGAGGCUGAGGUUGGCGGUUAGUAGUAGGCACAGCGGGAAAGCGAUGCCCCUUUCACACCUGGGAAGUGUCGAUUCGUGCGCAUUUCGUGCUGCCGUAGGAGUCCGCCGCAACCACCAAGUCCCAGUUCGACAAGUUCGUGGCGGACAAGGCUGAGGAGAAAGCUGUCUUUGAUCACCUUCUGGAACAGACAGUGGCAGAGGUUGCGGCACAUAAGGCCAUUGCCGACAAGGCGCUGGUGGAUAUGGACGAAAUGCAG
rnacentral:lncRNA from 1 species